rnacentral:rRNA from 1 species
GAUGAACGCUGGCGGCGUGCCUAAUACAUGCAAGUCGAGCGAACGGACGAGAAGCUUGCUUCUCUGAUGUUAGCGGCGGACGGGUGAGUAACACGUGGAUAACCUACCAAUAAGACUGGGAUAACUUCGGGAAACCGGAGCUAAUACCGGAUGAUAUUUUGAACCGCAUGGUUCAAAAGUGAAAGACGGUCUUGCUGUCACUUAUAGAUGGAUCCGCGUUGCAUUAGCUAGUUGGUAAGGUAAUGGCUUACCAAGGCAACGAUGCAUAGCCGACCUGAGAGGGUGAUCGGCCACACUGGAACUGAGACACGGUCCAGACUCCUACGGGAGGCAGCAGUAGGGAAUCUUCCGCAAUGGGCGAAAGCCUGACGGAGCAACGCCGCGUGAGUGAUGAAGGUCUUCGGAUCGUAAAACUCUGUUAUUAGGGAAGAACAUAUGUGUAAGUAACUGUGCACAUCUUGACGGUACCUAAUCAGAAAGCCACGGCUAACUACGUG